rnacentral:rRNA from 1 species
GGAAGAUGUAACGGGGCUAAACCAUGCACCGAAGCUGCGGCAGCGAACGUAUCACUUAAAGCGAUUCAGCGGGUUACGAUUGACGGAGCGAAGCGACGUCAAAGCGUAUACAAAGUCGAGUCGGUUUAAGGAUACGUUCGUUGGGUAGGGGAGCGUUCUGUAAGCCUGCGAAGGUGGCCUGUGAGGGUUGCUGGAGGUAUCAGAAGUGCGAAUGCUGACAUAAGUAACGAUAAAGCGGGUGAAAAGCCCGCUCGCCGGAAGACCAAGGGUUCCUGUCCAACGUUAAUCGGGGCAGGGUGAGUCGACCCCUAAGGCGAGGCCGAAAGGCGUAGUCGAUGGGAAACGGGUUAAUAUUCCCGUACUUGGUGUUACUGCGAAGGGGGGACGGAGAAGGCUAUGUUGGCCGGGCGACGGUUGUCCCGGUUUAAGCGUGUAGGUGUGUGUUCCAGGUAAAUCCGGUUCACUUUAACACUGAGGCGUGACGACGAGGCACUACGGUGCUGAAGCAACAAAUGCCCUGCUUCCAGGAAAAGCCUCUAAGCAUCAGGUAACAUCAAAUCGUACCCCAAACCGACACAGGUGGUCAGGUAGAGAAUACCAAGGCGCUUGAGAGAACUCGGGUGAAGGAACUAGGCAAAAUGGUGCCGUAACUUCGGGAGAAGGCACGCUGACACGUAGGUGAAGUGAUUUACUCAUGGAGCUGAAGUCAGUCGAAGAUACCAGCUGGCUGCAACUGUUUAUUAAAAACACAGCACUGUGCAAACACGAAAGUGGACGUAUACGGUGUGACGCCUGCCCGGUGCCGGAAGGUUAAUUGAUGGGGUCAGCGCAAGCGAAGCUCCUGAUCGAAGCCCCGGUAAACGGCGGCCGUAACUAUAACGGUCCUAAGGUAGCGAAAUUCCUUGUCGGGUAAGUUCCGACCUGCACGAAUGGCGUAAUGAUGGCCAGGCUGUCUCCACCCGAGACUCAGUGAAAUUGAACUCGCUGUGAAGAUGCAGUGUACCCGCGGCAAGACGGAAAGACCCCGUGAACCUUUACUAUAGCUUGACACUGAACAUUGAGCCUUGAUGUGUAGGAUAGGUGGGAGGCUUUGAAGUGUGGACGCCAGUCUGCAUGGAGCCGACCUUGAAAUACCACCCUUUAAUGUUUGAUGUUCUAACGUGGACCCGUAAUCCGGGUUGCGGACAGUGUCUGGUGGGUAGUUUGACUGGGGCGGUCUCCUCCUAAAGAGUAACGGAGGAGCACGAAGGUUGGCUAAUCCUGGUCGGACAUCAGGAGGUUAGUGCAAUGGCAUAAGCCAGCUUGACUGCGAGCGUGACGGCGCGAGCAGGUGCGAAAGCAGGUCAUAGUGAUCCGGUGGUUCUGAAUGGAAGGGCCAUCGCUCAACGGAUAAAAGGUACUCCGGGGAUAACAGGCUGAUACCGCCCAAGAGUUCAUAUCGACGGCGGUGUUUGGCACCUCGAUGUCGGCUCAUCACAUCCUGGGGCUGAAGUAGGUCCCAAGGGUAUGGCUGUUCGCCAUUUAAAGUGGUACGCGAGCUGGGUUUAGAACGUCGUGAGACAGUUCGGUCCCUAUCUGCCGUGGGCGCUGGAGAACUGAGGGGGGCUGCUCCUAGUACGAGAGGACCGGAGUGGACGCAUCACUGGUGUUCGGGUUGUCAUGCCAAUGGCACUGCCCGGUAGCUAAAUGCGGAAGAGAUAAGUGCUGAAAGCAUCUAAGCACGAAACUUGCCCCGAGAUGAGUUCUCCCUGAGACUUAGAGUCUCCUGAAGGAACGUUGAAGACGACGACGUUGAUAGGCCGGGUGUGUAAGCGCAGCGAUGCGUUGAGCUAACCGGUACUAAUGAACCGUGAGGCUUAACCUU